rnacentral:rRNA from 1 species
GCUCGUAGUUGAAGUUCGAGUCUAUUGCUGUCUGGCUUCAGUCAGGCUGUCAAUAGGCUCUCCGUCUACAACCCCUUUCGGGCCCUCACGGGUUUCACUGGGUGAGUAGACAAUUUACCUUGAAAAAAUUAGAGUGUUCCAGGCAGGUCUUCGCCGGAAUACAUUAGCAUGGAAUAAUGGAAUAGGACUUUAGUCUUUUGUUGGUUCUAGGACUGAAGUAAUGAUUAAUAGGGACAGUGGGUGGUAUUAGUAUUUAAUUGUCAGAGGUGAAAUUCUUGGAUUUAUUAAAGACUAACUUAUGCGAAAGCAUUUACCAAUGAUGUUUU